rnacentral:rRNA from 1 species
GACGAACGCUGGCGGCGUGCCUAAUACAUGCAAGUCGAGCGAAUCUUUGGGAGCUUGCUCCUAAAGGUUAGCGGCGGACGGGUGAGUAACACGUGGGCAACCUGCCUAUAAGACUGGGAUAACUUCGGGAAACCGGAGCUAAUACCGGAUAAUUCUUUUCUACACAUGUAGGAAAUUUAAAGACUGUUUACGCUGUCACUUAUAGAUGGGCCCGCGGCGCAUUAGCUAGUUGGUGAGGUAACGGCUCACCAAGGCCACGAUGCGUAGCCGACCUGAGAGGGUGAUCGGCCACACUGGGACUGAGACACGGCCCAGACACCUACGGGUGGCUG